rnacentral:rRNA from 1 species
UACGGAGGAUGCGAGCGUUAUCCGGAUUUAUUGGGUUUAAAGGGUGCGUAGGCGGAUAUGUAAGUCAGCGGUGAAACUCACAGGCUCAACCUGUGCCGUGCCGUUGAAACUGUGUAUCUGGAAUGCGGAUGCUGUGGGAGGAAUGUGUAGUGUAGCGGUGAAAUGCAUAGAUAUUACACAGAACACCGAUUGCGAAGGCAUCUCACAAAGCCGUUAUUGACGCUGAGGCACGAAAGUAGUGGGGAGUCAAACA